GAUGAACGCUGGCGGCGUGCCUAAUACAUGCAAGUCGAGCGAACAGACGAGGAGCUUGCUCCUCUGACGUUAGCGGCGGACGGGUGAGUAACACGUGGAUAACCUACCUAUAAGACUGGGAUAACUUCGGGAAACCGGAGCUAAUACCGGAUAAUAUAUUGAACCGCAUGGUUCAAUAGUGAAAGACGGUUUUGCUGUCACUUAUAGAUGGAUCCGCGCCGCAUUAGCUAGUUGGUAAGGUAACGGCUUACCAAGGCAACGAUGCGUAGCCGACCUGAGAGGGUGAUCGGCCACACUGGAACUGAGACACGGUCCAGACUCCUACGUGAGGCAGCAGUAGGGAAUCUUCCGCAAUGGGCGAAAGCCUGACGGAGCAACGCCGCGUGAGUGAUGAAGGUCUUCGGAUCGUAAAACUCUGCUAUUAGGGAAGAACAAAUGUGUAAGUAACUAUGCACGUCUUGACGGUACCUAAUCAGAAAGCCACGGCUAACUACGUG
rnacentral:rRNA from 1 species